rnacentral:rRNA from 1 species
UAGGGAAUCUUCCGCAAUGGACGCAAGUCUGACGGAGCAACGCCGCGUGAGUGAAGAAGGAUUUCGGUUCGUAAAACUCUGUUGUUAGAGAAGAACAGCGCAUAGAGUAACUGUUAUGCGUGUGACGGUAUCUAACCAGAAAGCCACGGCUAACUACGUGCCAGCAGCCGCGGUAAUACGUAGGUGGCAAGCGUUGUCCGGAUUUAUUGGGCGUAAAGCGAGCGCAGGCGGUCAAUUAAGUCUGAUGUGAAAGCCCCCGGCUCAACCGGGGAGGGUCAUGGGAAACUGGUUGACUUGAGUGCAGAAGAGGAGAGUGGAAUUCCAUGUGUAACGGUGAAAUGCGUAGAUAUAUGGAGGAACACCAGUGGCGAAGGCGACUCUCUGGUCUGUAACUGACGCUGAGGUUCGAAAGCGUGGGUAGCAAACAGG